rnacentral:rRNA from 1 species
CCCUUAGAUGUUCUGGGCCGCACGCGCGCUACACUGAUGCAUUCAACGAGUUUCUUCCUGGUCCGAGAGGAAUGGGUAACCUUUUGAAAGUGCAUCGUGAUAGGGAUAGACUAUUGCAAUUAUUGGUCUUCAACGAGGAAUUCCUAGUAGACGUAGUUCAUCAGACUGCAUCGAUUACGUCCCUGCCCUUUGUACACAUCGCCCGUCGCUCCUACCGAUUGAAUGCUCAGGUGAGCCAUUCGGACUUUCAUCAUGCUGGGUUCCAGUUUUGAUGAAGGAAAGUCUUGCGAACCUUAUCAUUUAGAGGAAGGAGAAGUCGUAACA